UACGAAGGGGGCUAGCGUUGUUCGGAAUUACUGGGCGUAAAGCGCACGUAGGCGGCUUUCUAAGUCGGGGGUGAAAUCCUGGAGCUCAACUCCAGAACUGCCUUCGAUACUGGAGAGCUUGAGUCCGGGAGAGGUGAGUGGAACUGCGAGUGUAGAGGUGAAAUGCGUAGAGAUCAGCAGGAACACCCGUGGCGAAGGCGGCCCCCUGGGCCGUACCUGACGCUGAGGCGCGAAGGCUAGGGGAGCGAACGGG
rnacentral:rRNA from 1 species